rnacentral:rRNA from 1 species
GAUGAACGCUGGCGGCGUGCCUAAUACAUGCAAGUCGAGCGAACAGACGAGGAGCUUGCUCCUCUGACGUUAGCGGCGGACGGGUGAGUAACACGUGGAUAACCUACCUAUAAGACUGGGAUAACUUCGGGAAACCGGAGCUAAUACCGGAUAAUAUAUUGAACCGCAUGGUUCAAUAGUGAAAGACGGUUUUGCUGUCACUUAUAGAUGGAUCCGCGCCGCAUUAGCUAGUUGGUAAGGUAACGGCUUACCAAGGCAACGAUGCGUAGCCGACGUGAGAGGGUGAUCGGCCACACUGGAACGGGGACGCGGACCAGACUCCUACGGGAGGCAGCAGUAGGGAAUCUGCGGCAAUGGGCGAAAGCAUGACGGAGCAACGCCGCGUGAGUGAUGAAGGUCUUCGGAUCGUAAAACUCUGUUAUUAGGGAAGAACAAAUGUGUAAGUAACUAUGCACGUCUUGACGGUACCUAAUCAGAAAGCCACGGCUAACUACGUG